GUGGUUUUGAUACUGUAAGCAUUGUUUGGAAACUUGAUAGCACAGCUAGCAUUAUGAUACAAUGUUUAUUGACAGAAACGUACAGUAUAUUAUGGAUUUCAGUGAAUAUACAGUAAAUAUACAUGUAUUGUU